rnacentral:rRNA from 1 species
UACGAAGGGGGCUAGCGUUGUUCGGAAUUACUGGGCGUAAAGCGCACGUAGGCGGAUAUUUAAGUCAGGGGUGAAAUCCCAGAGCUCAACUCUGGAACUGCCUUUGAUACUGGGUAUCUUGAGUAUGGAAGAGGUAAGUGGAAUUGCGAGUGUAGAGGUGAAAUUCGUAGAUAUUCGCAGGAACACCAGUGGCGAAGGCGGCUCACUGGACUGGUAUUGACGCUGAGGUGCGAAA